rnacentral:rRNA from 1 species
AACCUUUACACUGCACGACAGUGCGAUAAGGGGACUCCGAGUGCGAGGGCAUACAGUCCUCGCUUUUCUGUACCGUAGGGUGGUACAGGAACAAGUGCUGGGCAAGACCGGUGCCAGCCGCCGCGGUAAUACCGGCAGCACGAGUGAUGGCCGAUAUUAUUGGGCCUAAAGCGUCCGUAGCUGGCCGGCCAAGUCCGUUGGGAAAUCCACCCGCUUAACGGGUGGGCGUCCAGCGGAAACUGUCCGGCUUGGAGCCGGAGGACCUGAGGGGUACGUCCGGGGUAGGAGUGAAAUCCUGUAAUCCUGGACGGACCGCCGGUGGCGAAAGCGCCUCAGGAAGACGGAUCCGACAGUGAGGGACGAAAGCUAGGGUCUCGAACCGGAUUAGAUACCCGGGUAGUCCUAGCUGUAAACAAUGUCCGCUAGGUGUGGCGCAGGCUACGAGCCUGCGCUGUGCCGUAGGGAAGCCGUGAAGCGGACCGCCUGGGAAGUACGUCUGCAAGGAUGAAACUUAA